rnacentral:rRNA from 1 species
AGUGAACGCUGGCGGUAGGCCUAACACAUGCAAGUCGGACGGCAGCACAGUAAGAGCUUGCUCUUACGGGUGGCGAGUGGCGGACGGGUGAGGAAUACAUCGGAAUCUACUUUUUCGUGGGGGAUAACGUAGGGAAACUUACGCUAAUACCGCAUACGACCUACGGGUGAAAGCAGGGGAUCUUCGGACCUUGCGCGAUUGAAUGAGCCGAUGUCGGAUUAGCUAGUUGGCGGGGUAAAGGCCCACCAAGGCGACGAUCCGUAGCUGGUCUGAGAGGAUGAUCGGCCACACUGGAACUGAGACACGGUCCAGACUCCUACGGGAGGCAGCAGUGGGGAAUAUUGGACAAUGGGCGCAAGCCUGAUCCAGCCAUACCGCGUGGGUGAAGAAGGCCUUCGGGUUGUAAAGCCCUUUUGUUGGGAAAGAAAAGCAGCAGGUUAAUACCCCGCUGUUCUGACGGUACCCAAAGAAUAAGCACCGGCUAACUUCGUG